CCGGAUGUGAUGACAGGUUCAGAACUGAUGCUGGUGAUGGUUGUUGUGUUCGUACUGUCUGAUCCGU
ensembl:snoRNA